UCAUUACUUUCUUGCUCCACCUUCUGUCACAUAUCUCCUCUGUCUCAACUUCCGUAUUUCAUCUGCUAUUACAAGUCAGAAAGGGGGCACGUAGCUACUUGUGAAUAAAAAUAAACUGGCAAUACAUUUUGUUGGUAAGUCUAGGCCUAGGAUCCAGGCUGUCCUUCAGUGAACCGCCUUUAGAGCGCUCUAUCCUCUCCAGGGUUCAUUUGCUGAAGUAGGAACUUGGGCAAACAGGGGAAAUGAGGUUUGGUUUUGUAAGCUUUGUAGCACUACAAUAAGCAGAGCAGUAAAGAUGAGCAUUAAAAGCAACAGGAUAAGGGUCUGAACCUCCCUUCUUUCUUUAAUAAAACAUUCCAUUGCUUCAGACCCUAAGCCAGAGCUCAGAAGGGGAAGUGGGGAGAAAACCAGAAAUUGCUCUUAGUAUUGGGAGGUGGUAUAAAAAAUAGGCCUUCAAUACAAUAGCCAAUUUCAAACCACUCUCACUUAGUGCUUGCCACAAGCAUCACUUUAUCUCUGGUCCAAGCUGAGCUUUCUGCUUUGAUACCCGUGCACAUGAGCACCAAGACUUGCAUUGUAUUUGUUAGUGGAAUUGCAACUGAUUCUCUUACAAUACCUGGAUUUUAAAUCCUCAUCCAUAAAAGUUAUUUGCUUCUGUAAAUCUUCCCCCCACACACAGCACCUUUUUACUGCUCACAAGUGAAAGACUAUUAUAGCAGUUUAAGUGUCCAACAAUACCUAAGACUGGUGUGACACAUAUGAUGUAUCAACCAGAUGCUCUAUGCAUAAUGGAUAUUCAUUUGAAAAUAAUCCUGCACACUUUCAGCCCAAGCUACAAUAGUGCAGAAUUUUAUCUUCAGAGAUGCUAAUCUCAGCCAGAUCUGCUGACAGGGACAGGGUAUGCUAUGGACAAGCUCUACAACCAGCUCUUCAGGCUAAUAUAUGAGGUCAGGUCUAGUAAAGAGAGUACAAAGAAUACCUAACCAGUACACCUGAUAAUUGUAAUGCCUGCAGGAUGAGGUAUACAUGUUACUGAUAAAGAUACUCAUCUUUAUGAGGAUGUAUUUUAAAUCGUUUUUCUUGCAUUGAACUUUAAAUAAAACAUUAAAGGCAAAAAAAUUUUUCUAAGGUAGUCUUUAGCCUAAUUAUACCAUCUCGGAGGAACUUGCCUGACAUCCAGUGAGAGAACUUGUGGUAUUUUAGGCAGCUUUUGCUGAAACUGUAAACCUAUCAGGUCUGUACCAAAAAGGUAAAGUUUAUGAUGAAAAACAACUAAGCUACUGUCUGUCAGCUGGCUGUGUUCAUUUACACAGUGCUGCUAGCUGCUUCAGUUGGAAAAUGCCACGCUUUUGCUUAAGUCGCCACAGGGAAUCUAAGGUCAAACUGAUAUUUGCAGGUUGCUCUAACUGGACUGGCUGAAGCAGUAAAUGCUACUAGUGCUCUUGUGCUCUGUCCACCCUCUUUCUGCAGGUUUUUAUGUAUGCAGCAGAGUCACCUGGCUGCAAAACACAUCUGUAAUGAAGUUACAAGCUUAUAGACCAGCACCUGAGAGUAAACUUGGCGGUAGUUGGUAUGAGUCUGUCAUGUAAGACUAGGCUCUGCUGAUGGGUGUAACCUGAGUGCUUUUGAUGAUCUCUUUAUUACUUAAUUCCCCUGCAAGAUUCACAGCCCCAAACAGCUCCUUUGUAUUUCUUCAACCUGUCUCCCUUUUCAGAGCCCUUGCACUGGUACUUUAGCACAUCUUUUCCUGCUUUCUUUAACGAUGUACUCCUUUCCAACUGCCCACUUCUCCUGGUCAGGUCCGUCUCAAUCUCUCAUCUCGGCAAUUCCAAACAGCAGUUCCUAGGGUUCUCUGUGAUUCCCAGCAGCCCCAUUACAAUAGCUGUUUGAUGCCUUCUAUGUCCCAUAGCCAACAGCAGUAUAUUAGAGUAGUUGUACACUGGCUAAACACCCUGGUUCGAAAACUGUGACUGGUGUGAGUGACAAGGUAGACACAGAAGACUGAGAAACUCGAGAACAUGUGUUGUUAGGAUUAGUAUUUGUCUCUCCAGGCCCCAUCAUGCCACUGGUAACUUUAAAGAAUUCCUCUGGGUUGUGACUUGGGUUCUGGCCUUGCAUUUCACUCCCCAGUAAAAGCCUGUGGUUAAUCAAAGCAAAAUACACACAUACCUGCUUGGGUGGUAAUUCUCCUUACAUGACACAUUUACUGCUGAGAAAAAAGCUAUCAUUCCGUCUGCCAUUUUUUUUAAUCCUGUAAUUACUAUGAUUAUUCAUGGUGUUGACUGAAAUUCAAUUGAAUUUUACUUGUGUAUGGUCAGGUCACAGGCUGCUGACCAUAUACAAAAUGCCAUGCUAUAGGAAGCUUCUGCCUGAGAUAGUCUUUAUGCACAGUAUAAAUAAAUGUUAUUGAUAACUAUGCAAGUAAGCCCAUUGAUUUUAAUGGUACAGCUGAAAGUAAGAAAGUAAGAAUGGCAAAAGGAUGCUUUUUGCUACAUGGAAUUAAGAUGGUGAGAAGAUGCAUUUAAGGAAGCAUUGACAAUAUAACUUACAAAACAAAUAACCUUAUUUAAUUGAUUGCCUCUUGCAAUUUGCCACAUAAAAGGUGUUAUUGGUUUAUUCACACAUUCAUUUAUUCAUUGUGGAUAGUAUCACACUGAAUACUUAUCUCUGAGCUUAGUGGCCUCAGGGAUAAUCCAAGCUAGUAUUAUGUUAAACAUUAUGUGGAACAAUGAAAGAGCCAAAGCAUGCAAUUGUUGCUGUUCCAAAAGGUUAGGUAAACCUCUAAUAUCUACAUGCAGUGUCUAUACAGAAUGUCUAUAUACAGAUGAGGAGGAAUUUUAUAGAAAAUCAGUUGGAAAUGCUAACUUCUAUAGGUGUUCAGCAAGACCUGAGCCUGUGCAAAGAGGUGGGAUAAAGCAGGAGACCCUAUUUGAAAGUGCAGUAGUGGGAUUCAGUUGUACAGGCUGGCAGGAAAUAGCCUUUCAGUGUGAAACAAAAGGUACCUGGGACCAGAACAGCGUGUGAACGGGCUUGCAAUUGAAGAGCAACAGUUUUGUGUGUGAUAGAGAAGACUGGCUCUGGAAAGGGGUGGAGAACUAACAUUGGAAAAAUAAGAAAAUGGUGUUGCAGAGCUUUCUGAGCAGAAGCAAAUGCUCUAUCUGUUGAGGCCAGAGAAAAGGAUGUCAACAAUAACUGAGACGAGGAGAGCUUGAGUGAGAUACCCAGUCACGUCAAUAAAUAACAAAGAUCGUGCCCUGGUUGAGAUUCCCACAGCAGUUCAGAGCAAUCUGAGCUCAAACACCACGUUCCUGGCUGUCAGUUUCUACCUGCUCCUUUGCACAGUGGGCCGUAAAACAGCUCAGUAGAAUAGUGGUUGGUUUACAGACAGAGGGUUUGUUUCAAACAUGCUCACUGCCAGAACUUUAAAUUACAAUGGAGACAGCUGAAGUUUGAAUGGAGGCAGUAACACCUGUAUUUGUGCAUCAGGAUGUUGAGCUGUGAGCUAGAAGGGAAGGGAGGAGAGUCAGGGUCAGGGCUCACCACUGCUCUUGCAGAAGACGGGAGAAAAUAUAGGGGAAGGUACUGACAAGCCAAGCUGAAACUGUCACUGGAGAAGCAAUAGGUGAGAAUAACUGUACAAGCGAAGAUCGGAGAUGAGCUGGCUAUGCUACACGUGGCUGAAGGCCAAAGAAGAGAUUGGUUUAAGAUGGGUUGAGAAACUUCCCGAUGACAGGAGGAAGGAACACCAAGUUUAAGGGGAUUUAGGGUAGAACCAGAUGAGAUGCCAUUGGAAGACUUGUAAAAGUAAGCUGACAGGAGGCACUGCUACCGAAGGCUUGCAUUUGGUUUCUGUUGGCUUUUUCUUCUUAGUAUUUAAAAGAGACCAGCAUAUCUGUGUGGGUGCUGGGGGGUCACAGCAGACCCAAUGACUAAAGCUGUGAACAAAUGGAAGAGUGGGUGUGAGGAAAAUCAGGAAAUGAAACAGAGUGAGGUUAAUAAGGCAAGUGAUGGAGUUACAGAAGAUAUGUAGGUAAUAUUAUUGUAAUUGCUGCUUAGAGAUUUGUAGAAAGGGAAAGCAUCAGGAGAGUACUUUAAUUUUAACUUUAAAGAAAAUGGUGCAAUAGCAAGCAGAGGAGAGCAGAAAGAGAGGCUUGCCAAGGGUUAGUCAGCAGCAAUGCAAAGCUAGCUAGGAAUACAGGAGGGCAGAUAAGCUACAGUAGAAAUGCUUAGCUGUAAGAAGGCAGAAAUGGAAGAGUGAGCUGGCUUGCAGGAGAGGAAGUCUGCUUGAUGACAGGGUUUCCGCCAGAGACACUUCACACUGCAAAAGUAAGGAUGGCUGAAGCAAGCUGAAGGUAAGCUGGUGCUGUGGGUGUGACAGUUUAUCAUGAGAGACAGAAGCAAAGAAGUCAGUGGUGGAUUAAAGUUGUGUGUAGUAAAUGUAUAGCUAAUAAAUUGCUGCUAAAGCACAUACGUUCUUCUGUGCUUAAUGUCAAAAUGCAAGUAAAGCUAAAGGAUGUGCAAGCUGCAUUUUUAAUCAAUGCAACUAGUUUGUAUUGCUUCUUUAGCUUUUCUUCACUCUGUUAUUUUCAUCAUUCUGUUUUUCUGUCCUUUUUUCACCAGUCUUCCAGCCAUUAGUUUAUCCUCCUUGUUGCAGUGUUGGAGUACAAAGCUCUGGAGUAAUAUUUCUCCUUCAAAAGUUAUUUUUCUGUUGUUACUUGACUGCAAAUGCACCUGCAGCCACAGCCUUUCAGUGUUGUUAUAUUCCAAGCCAGCUAAAAAUAAGUGAGAGAACCAAGGCUGAUUAAACAGCUUAACAGAUAAGAUACAGCAGCAAAGCUAUGCCCUAAGAAGUAUUCAGAACCGCCAUGGUUUAUUUCAUUGUCAGUGUAAUUUUACCCUUUUUUUUUUAUUGUUUCCUUUCUUAAAAGCACACCUCUGGCCUGCAGAUGUUAGGGAAGGUGCCUCAGGCCAGCAUUUUAGUUACACAGACAUUUUUUCAAGCACUAUAAAGAUAAUAAAAACAAGAUAACGAUGCUAACACAGGGUUGCAAAGUCAAGUUUAUGGAAUCCGAGGCUUUAGAAGAACCCUACUACUGUAAAAAGACAGUGUCGUCGUUAGGGGACACACGAGGGUAUUUUCUCUUCACAUGCGGGGCCACUUUAAAUUCGCAAGGCUGCAUUAUUAAACCAUCGUGGGAAGAGAAGCCGCAGGAAGCCCGGUGUCAUUGGCUGCAGCUCCAGAUGCAGCCGCCCGCUCAUUGGAGAGCAGAGGAUUCUCCGAGGUACUAAAAUUAGACAAUCUCCGCCCUCCAGAAAUGGUUCUGGAAACAGCGAGGAGGAGCCCAAACCCUGACACAGAGCGAGGGCCUUUGGUGCGGGCAGAGCGCACAGAACCCUACUCCCGGUUAAGCUGCAGCAUCCAAAGGCACACAGAGAUUGAUUUCUUAGCUUGGUUAGCUGAAUAAAGCAUGCCCACAAUAAAGAAACUGCAGGAGAUGAAGCAGUGUUUUACACGGAUAUUAAAUUCAGCAUUUCUUAUGUAAUCACAAUUCUGAAGCGUUCAUCCAGGCUGAGGAAGCCUUUGAAUUAAAAUCCAAGCUGUCAGACUGGUGCUCAUUGACUUUGAAAUGAAAUCAUCUUCCUAAAUGAACUCUGAACUGAACUAAAACAAAAUGGUAUCCCUAUGGAAGAAACACCAAGUGCCUGUAUCAGUGAACAAAGUCUGCAUCUGAAUUACUCCAUCUUGUACACUCAGGACCUUUAUUUGGUUUUUAAGGUAUGCGAAUAAAGACUUCAGCCUUUGCAUUUCAAACAUAUUCCAAACUGGAAUAUGCAAGGAAAUAGUUUUUUUCCAUUUUUUUCCAAAGUGGCUGCAAGGAAAUAGUUUUGUUUCUCAUUUCUAUUUCCACAUUAUUUACAUUACUCAUGAAGAAGAUAAAGGCAAAGUGGAUUCUUCUUACACUAUAAACAGCAUUUGCUCUUUCCUCUGCUAACCAGGGUACAAUGUCAGCAUCUGUGGCUCUUAAAGUGUGGGGGUUUGGGGGAUUUCUCCUUUACUUUCAGUCUGAGUUCAGUAAAAAUUGAAGCCGAUAUACUUGU